rnacentral:lncRNA from 1 species
AGAUCAAGUGCAUGAGCUACAACUGAUCUUCCAAGUGAUAGCUGAAGAAAACAUGAAGCUAUGUGAAACCUUGCAUACCAAGUCGGGAGGACUCCAAGAACUAUCUUGCAUACAAGCAAAAAGGCCUUGGUGUUGGCAAACCUGAUUACCAGGCUCCAGAAAGAAUCACUAAAACGUGAGAAAGAAGGGCCAAUUCAUACUCACGAUGUCAGUGUCGCAUCGUACAAGAAUAAG